rnacentral:rRNA from 1 species
GACGAACGCUGGCGGCGUGCUUAAUACAUGCAAGUCGAACGAAGACAGUAGCAAUAUUGUCUGAGUGGCGAACGGGUGAGUAACGCGUUGGUGACCUGCCCCGAAGAGAGGGAUAACAGUCCGAAAGGAUUGCUAAUACCCCAUGUGGUCGUUUGGAUUAGAUGCCUUAUGACUAAACGGAUUUAUUCGCUUCGGGAGGGGCCUGCGUCCCAUCAGCUAGUUGGUAAGGUAAUGGCUUACCAAGGCGAUGACGGGUAGGGGACCUGAGAGGGUGGCCCCCCACAAUGGAACUGAAACACGGUCCAUACACCUACGGGUGGCAGCAGUAGGGAAUAUUGGUUAAUCUGGGAAACCGGGAACCAGCAACGCCGCGUGCACGAUGAAGGCCUUCGGGUUGUAAAGUGCUUUUUGAAAGGAUGAGGAAGGACAGUACUUUCAGAAUAAGCUUCGGCUAACUACGUGCCAGCAGCCGCAGUAACAC